CUACCGGCAUCGAGAGGUGUCGGGAUGCGCCUGCAGAAGUCAGCAGAGGGCAUAUUAGGUUGGGGGCAAGGCGGUGAGCCAAUGAGAACCUCGACUGAAGGCC
rnacentral:ncRNA from 2 species